AUUGAACGCUGGCGGCAGGCCUAACACAUGCAAGUCGAGCGGAUGAAGGGAGCUUGCUCCUGGAUUCAGCGGCGGACGGGUAAGUAAUGCCUAGGAAUCUGCCUGGUAGUGGGGGAUAACGUCCGGAAACGGGCGCUAAUACCGCAUACGUCCUGAGGGAGAAAGUGGGGGAUCUUCGGACCUUACGCUAUCAGAUGAGCCUACGUCGGAUUAGCUAGUUGGUGGGGUAAAGGCCUACCAAGGCGACGAUCCGUAACUGGUCUGAGAGGAUGAUCAGUCACACUGGGACUGGAACACGGUCCAGACUCCUACGGGAGGAAGGAGUGGGGAAUUUUGGGCAAUGGGCGAAAGCCAGAUCCAGCCAUGCGGCGUGUGUUAAGAAGGUCUUCGGAUUGUAAAGCACUUUAAGUUGGGAGGAAGGGCAGUAAGUUAAUAACUUGCUGUUUUGACGUUAUCAACAGAAUAAGCACCGGCUAACUUUGUG
rnacentral:rRNA from 1 species